rnacentral:rRNA from 1 species
UACGUAGGGCGCAAGCGUUGUCCGGAAUUAUUGGGCGUAAAGAGCUCGUAGGCGGCUUGUCACGUCGGGUGUGAAAGCCCGGGGCUUAACCCCGGGUCUGCAUUCGAUACGGGCAGGCGUAGAGUGUGGUAGGGGAGAUCGGAAUUCCUGGUGUAGCGGUGAAAUGCGCAGAUAUCAGGAGGAACACCGGUGGCGAAGGCGGAUCUCUGGGCCAUUACUGACGCUGAGGAGCGAAAGCGUGGGGAGCGAACAGG